rnacentral:rRNA from 1 species
GAGAGUGCACUCCUACGGGAGGCAGCAGUGGGGAAUAUUGCACAAUGGGCGCAAGCCUGAUGCAGCCAUGCCGCGUGUAUGAAGAAGGCCUUCGGGUUGUAAAGUACUUUCAGCAGUGAGGAAGGUGGGUAUGUUAAUAGCAUACUCAUUUGACGUUAGCUGCAGAAGAAGCACCGGCUAACUCCGUGCCAGCAGCCGCGGUAAUACGGAGGGUGCGAGCGUUAAUCGGAAUUACUGGGCGUAAAGCGCAUGCAGGUGGUUUGUUAAGUCAGAUGUGAAAGCCCGGGGCUCAACCUCGGAAUUGCAUUUGAAACUGGCAAACUAGAGUACUGUAGAGGGGGUAGAAUUUCAGGUGUAGCGGUGAAAUGCGUAGAGAUCUGAAGGAAUACCGGUGGCGAAGGCGGCCCCCUGGACAGAUACUGACACUCAGAUGCGAAAGCCGUGGGGACCGCAAACAGGACUUAGACUACCCCUGGUAG